rnacentral:rRNA from 1 species
CGGGACACGUGGUAUCCUGUCUGAAUAUGGGGGGACCAUCCUCCAAGGCUAAAUACUCCUGACUGACCGAUAGUGAACCAGUACCGUGAGGGAAAGGCGAAAAGAACCCCGGCGAGGGGAGUGAAAAAGAACCUGAAACCGUGUACGUACAAGCAGUGGGAGCACGCUUAGGCGUGUGACUGCGUACCUUUUGUAUAAUGGGUCAGCGACUUAUAUUCUGUAGCAAGGUUAACCGAAUAGGGGAGCCGAAGGGAAACCGAGUCUUAACUGGGCGUUAAGUUGCAGGGUAUAGACCCGAAACCCGGUGAUCUAGCCAUGGGCAGGUUGAAGGUUGGGUAACACUAACUGGAGGACCGAACCGACUAAUGUUGAAAAAUUAGCGGAUGACUUGUGGCUGGGGGUGAAAGGCCAAUCAAACCGGGAGAUAGCUGGUUCUCCCCGAAAGCUAUUUAGGUAGCGCCUCGUGAAUUCAUCUCCGGGGGUAGAGCACUGUUUCGGCAAGGGGGUCAUCCCGACUUACCAACCCGAUGCAAACUACGAAUACCGGAGAAUGUUAUCACGGGAGACACACGGCGGGUGCUAACGUCCGUCGUGAAGAGGGAAACAACCCAGACCGCCAGCUAAGGUCCCAAAGUCAUGGUUAAGUGGGAAACGAUGUGGGAAGGCCCAGACAGCCAGGAUGUUGGCUUAGAAGCAGCCAUCAUUUAAAGAAAGCGUAAUAGCUCACUGGUCGAGUCGGCCUGCGCGGAAGAUGUAACGGGGCUAAACCAUGCACCGAAGCUGCGGCAGCGACGCUGAUGCGUUGUUGGGUAGGGGAGCGUUCUGUAAGCCUGCGAA